rnacentral:rRNA from 1 species
UACGAAGGGGGCUAGCGUUGUCCGGAUUUAUUGGGUUUAAAGGGUGCGUAGGCGGCCCUGUAAGUCAGUGGUGAAAUACUCCAGCUUAACUGGAGGGGUGCCAUUGAUACUGCAGGGCUUGAGUGGAGUCGAAGUAGGCGGAAUUGACGGUGUAGCGGUGAAAUGCUUAGAUAUCGUCAAGAACACCGAUAGUGAAGACAGCUUACUAGGCUUCUACUGACGCUGAGGCACGAAAGUGUGGGGAUCAAACAGG